GUGCUCACCUCGGCAGCACAUGCAGUAAAUCUGGAAGGAUACAAAGAUUAACAUGGCCCCUACCCACAGAUGACACGAAAUUUGUGAACCAGUCCACAUUUUC